AGCUUCAUAUCGUAGUGGCAACGUUCUAGGUUUGUAACCUGGACAUCCUCCGUUCGAAUCGGAGUGAAGCUG
rnacentral:tRNA from 1 species